rnacentral:rRNA from 1 species
CCUACGGGAGGCUGCAGUGGGGAAUAUUGGGUAAUGGAGGCAACUCUGACCCAGCAACGCCGCGUGAAUGAUGAAGGUCUUCGGAUUUUAAAGUUCUUUUCUAAGGGAAGAAGAAAGUGACGGUACCUUCGGAAUAAGCCUCGGCUAACUACGUCCCAGCAGCCGCGGUAAUACGUAGGAGGAAAGCGUAAUCCGGAAGGACUGGGCGUAAGGGGUGCGGAGGUGGUUUGACACUUUAGUAGCGCAACUCCGCAGCUCAACGUGGGAAGUACUACUAAGACUGUUGGACUUGAAUGCAGGGGGCGCGAGCGGAAUGCCUGGUGUAGCGGUGGAAUGCGUAGAUAUUA